GAUGAACGCUGGCGGCGUGCUUAACACAUGCAAGUCGAACGGGAAAUAUUUCAUUGAGACUUCGGUGGAUUUGAUUUAUUUCUAGUGGCGGACGGGUGAGUAACGCGUGGGUAACCUGCCUUAUACAGGGGGAUAACAGUCAGAAAUGGCUGCUAAUACCGCAUAAGCGCACAGAGCUGCAUGGCUCAGUGUGAAAAACUCCGGUGGUAUAAGAUGGACCCGCGUUGGAUUAGCUAGUUGGUGGGGUAACGGCCCACCAAGGCGACGAUCCAUAGCCGGCCUGAGAGGGUGAACGGCCACAGUGGGACUGAGACACGGCCCAGACUCCUACGGGAGGCAGCAGUGGGGAAUAUUGCACAAUGGGGGAAACCCUGAUGCAGCGACGCCGCGUGAAGGAAGAAGUAUCUCGGUAUGUAAACUUCUAUCAGCAGGGAAGAUAGUGACGGUACCUGACGAAGAAGCCCCGGCUAACUACGUG
rnacentral:rRNA from 1 species